rnacentral:rRNA from 1 species
GUACACGCUGUGACUAGCAUAUCAAUAAGCGGAGGAAAAGAAACUAACAAGGAUUCCCCUAGUAACGGCGGGUGAAGCGGGAAGAGCUCAAAUUUGAAAUCUUAAAGGGUUUCCCUUUACGAAUUGUAGUUUAAAGAAGUGUUUUCUGUUGAGGUUUUGGUAAAAGUUCUUUGGAAUAGGACAUCAUAGAGGGUGAGAAUCCCGUAUUUGACCUAUACUUUCAACUUUGUGAUACACUUUCAAAGAGUCGGAUUGUUUGGGAAUGCAGUCCAAAAUGGGUGGUAAAUUUCAUCUAAAGCUAAAUAUUGGCGAGAGACCGAUAGCGAACAAGUACCGUGAGGGAAAGAUGAAAAGAACUUUGAAAAGAGAGUUAAACAGUACGUGAAAUUGUCAAAAGGGAAGCGUUUGACACCAGUGUUGUUUUUCUGAAAAUCAAUUAAAGAACUGUUUAUGCUAAGCUGUUUAGACUUUAUCAGCUAUCUGUUUAGUUUUGAGCUUUUCUUUAAUGCACUUUUCAGUUAACAAGUCAACAUCAAUUUCUUUUGCUGUAAAAAAGCUUGAGGAAGGUGGCUUGAGAUUCGUCUUAAGUGUUUAUAGCCUCUUGCCUAUGCAGUCGGAGAGAUUGAGGUCUGCAGCGUAGAUCCUUCGGGGCUAAAUGCAUUUGUGCUAAGUUAUAAGCAUUUUCAUAGACAACUUGUUGACUAUGAUUUGUCUUGUAGCUUACUCGCUUAUGUUAUUUUACCUACGCUUAGGAUGUUGACGCGCGUGUGUGCGUG